rnacentral:rRNA from 1 species
UGCAUCGAUGAAAGAACGCAGCGAAAUGCGAUACGUAGUGUGAAUUGCAGAAUUCCGCGAAUCAUCGAGUCUUUGAACGCAAGUUGCGCCCGAGGCUUGUCCAAGGGCAUUUCCGCUAGAGCGUCACC